rnacentral:rRNA from 1 species
CAGUAGCCGCGGUAAUACGGAGGGUGCAAGCGUUAAUCGGAAUUACUGGGCGUAAAGCGCACGCAGGCGGUCUGACAAGUCAGAUGUGAAAUCCCCGGGCUUAACCUGGGAACUGCAUUUGAAACUGUCAGGCUGGAGUCUUGUAGAGGGGGGUGGAAUUCCAGGUGUAGCGGUGAAAUGCGUAGAGAUCUGGAGGAAUACCGGUGGCGAAGGCGGCCCCCUGGACAAAGACUGACGCUCAGGUGCGAAAGCGUGGGGAGCAAACAGGAUUAGAUACCCGCGUAGUCCCUGUCUCUUAUAC